rnacentral:tRNA from 2 species
GUCACUUUGGCGGAGUGGUUAACGCGCGGCCCUGCUAUGUUGCAUACAAGGCCGUGACUUCGGUCGCGUAGGUUCGAAUCCUGCAGGUGACG